UGAGCAAUCUGCCCUUCUCUUCGGAAUAAGCGUGGGAAACCGCGUCUAAUGCCGAAUACGACCUCCUUUCGCAUGAUCGGAGGUGGAAAGCUCCGGCGGAGAAGGAUGAGCUCGCGGCCUAUCAGCUAGUUGGUGUGGGUAAUGGCCCACCAAGGCGACGACAGGUAGCCGGCCUGAGAGGGUGACCGGCCACACUGGGACUGAGACACGGCCCAGACUCCUACGGGAGCAG
rnacentral:rRNA from 1 species